UCGAUCCGCGUCAGACCAUCGACUGCUUCUCUUCGUACGCGGGUGAGGGAACCCGCGUGAUCCAACACGCGUCAAGACGUCGAGGCUUCUCUUUCAUGCGAGCGGGUAGGCGAUCCCGCGUUGCUUCACCCCGCGUGACUCCAUCGUUUGCUUCUCUUCGUACGCGGGUAAGGGAACCCGCGUGAUCCAACCCGCGUCAAGACGUUGAGCAGCCCCAUUCUCAUGCGUGCGGGUGCGGUUUCCCGCGUGAUCUAAGCCGCGUUGGAGCUCUUCAUUGCUUCAUCUUGAUGAGUCGACGCGGGUUAGUGAACCCGCGUGGGUCAACCCGCGUUGCACUCAUCCCAAUUUGACCAAAUUUCAUCUUUCAUCCCUUUUUGAGCCACAAUGCUCCUAAACACCUCCAAUCACUCCAUAGGACACUCCAAUACCUGAUAAAGACAUAUGAAUGCAAUAUGGAUCCUAAAGAUGCUAAAUUCCUAAUCUAGAUGAUCAUUAUGUGCAAAAUAGAGACUUAAAACAAUGCAAAUAUGCAAGAUAUCAACUCCCCCAAACUUGUCAUUUACUUGUCCUCAAGUGAACUUGCAAGAACUCAUAGGGGAGAGAGGUUUGAAGGUGGGAACUCAUAGCCAAAAGAAACACUUCCUAGCACUCAACUUAACAUCCUAAAUAAACAUAGCAAAUAGCAUGAGUAACUCUCUUAUUAUACUCUAGCUUCUCUAGGCCUAUCCAUACUCUUAUACCUCUACACAAGUUGCAAUACUCAUCAACUAACAAGUUCCUUCAACCAGCUCUCACAUUGAUUCACACACACACACACAAGGUGAAUUCUCACAAAUGGGCACAUGAUCUCAAUCAUUUGGCUAGGUAAGCAAUAGUCUAAUAUGAAUGAAGAGAGGGAUUCAAAUGUUU
rnacentral:lncRNA from 1 species